UAGAAGUAGAGGCGCGGAGCUUAUCAGUACCUGCGGCAGUCGUUCGGCAAUAUGCGGCUGCAGGGAAAGGAAGUGCCGCCGAAGUGAUGCGGUCUGCCGAAUACCGCUGAAGCUGGGCAUAAUGUUAAGAGCAUUGUGACUGUCAUCGAAAGAUGGAGUGCUACUGC
rnacentral:ncRNA from 1 species